rnacentral:rRNA from 1 species
GACGAACGCUGGCGGCGUGCUUAACACAUGCAAGUCGAACGGAAAGGCCCUGCUUUUGUGGGGUGCUCGAGUGGCGAACGGGUGAGUAACACGUGAGUAACCUGCCCUUGACUUUGGGAUAACUUCAGGAAACUGGGGCUAAUACCGGAUAGGAGCUCCUGCUGCAUGGUGGGGGUUGGAAAGUUUCGGCGGUUGGGGAUGGACUCGCGGCUUAUCAGCUUGUUGGUGGGGUAGUGGCUUACCAAGGCUUUGACGGGUAGCCGGCCUGAGAGGGUGACCGGGCAGAGUGGGAAGGAGGGAAGGCGGAGCGGGCGCUGGGAGGCAGAAGGGGGGAUGGUGGCGGACGGGGCUGGAGUAGGAUGCGGCGGGGCGGUGGGCGGGAGGGGGGGCGAUGGGUGGGAAAAAGAGGGAGCCGGGGAAGAAGCGUGAGGGAGGGGAAGGGAUAAGGAAGCGAGGGCUAACUAGGUG